CGCCUUCUCAAUCUUCAUCUCGAGGUCUGGCGCAGGCAAGAUGCCUGCCGGAGGAGGGAAUCUGGAACCAAGGGUGACAAGGACGGCUCCUCCUGAGAGAUGCCAUUGACGCUGAGGCCGGGAGGACCAAAUGGGGCCAGGCGUAUGACAAGCACAAUCCUUUUGGACAGCCUUGGGUGUCCCUGUGGUCCUCUCAUCUGACACUGGGAUCAUUGAUCCUGCUUUGGAUUAUGGGAAAUCGAGGUGCAGGGAAGGACAUGACAUCCUCAGAGGAAAGACAAAAACCCAGGUGAAGAGCUAGAGGACAACUGUAAGAAGUUGAGCGUGGAGCACAAAGUUUUGCUUUUAUAUUCUGUCAGAGGGGCAAGUUCAAGCCCAAACCAUGGGAGAACAUUGGGAGAAUGGCUUGAAA